rnacentral:lncRNA from 1 species
CUCGGGCCGGCGGGUCCGGGGCCACAGGCUGGGAGUGGAGCUGGCGGCCACUGGGGAGUAGAGAGGACGCCCAGGAACAGGCUGCCUAGAUCACACGGCCCCGUUUCAUUCAUUUUUACUUAAUAACGGUCGUUGGACAAUUUAGAGAAGCAGCAGAAACCACGAGAAAAACAGUGGAGUCAAACGGCGGCGCUGUUGUAGGAGCAAGGGAUACAAUGAUGAUCAAGGCAGAUGCAGCCCUUACCUUCAGGUCGUGGAGUCCGGAUACAGACUGGAGGCAGGCAGCUGUAAGAUGUGUGACAAAUGCUGCGCUGGAUCAGCCCAUGGUAUUAGGAGAGCAGCUGAGUGCCACGUGCUGACGUCACUAAGAUCAAUACAGCAAACUCUGAAAGAUGGACAGAGA